GCAGUGUACCCGCGGCAAGACGGAAAGACCCCGUGAACCUUUACUAUAGCUUGACACUGAACAUUGAGCCUUGAUGUGUAGGAUAGGUGGGAGGCUUUGAAGUGUGGACGCCAGUCUGCAUGGAGCCGGCCUUGAAAUACCACCCUUUAAUGUUUGAUGUUCUAACGUGGACCCGUGAUCCGGGUUGCGGACAGUGUCUGGUGGGUAGUUUGACUGGGGCGGUCUCCUCCUAAAGAGUAACGGAGGAGCACGAAGGUUGGCUAAUCCUGGUCGGACAUCAGGAGGUUAGUGCAAUGGCAUAAGCCAGCUUGACUGCGAGCGUGACGGCGCGAGCAGGUGCGAAAGCAGGUCAUAGUGAUCCGGUGGUUCUGAAUGGAAGGGCCAUCGCUCAACGGAUAAAAGGUACUCCGGGGAUAACAGGCUGAUACCGCCCAAGAGUUCAUAUCGACGGCGGUGUUUGGCACCUCGAUGUCGGCUCAUCACAUCCUGGGGCUGAAGUAGGUCCCAAGGGUAUGGCUGUUCGCCAUUUAAAGUGGUACGCGAGCUGGGUUUAGAACGUCGUGAGACAGUUCGGUCCCUAUCUGCCGUGGGCGCUGGAGAACUGAGGGGGGCUGCUCCUAGUACGAGAGGACCGGAGUGGACGCAUCACUGGUGUUCGGGUUGUCAUGCCAAUGGCACUGCCCGGUAGCUAAAUGCGGAAGAGAUAAGUGCUGAAAGCAUCUAAGCACGAAACUUGCCCCGAGAUGAGUUCUCCCUGAGACUUUAGGUCUCCUGAAGGAACGUUGAAGACGACGACGUUGAUAGGCCGGGUGUGUAAGCGCAGCGAUGCGUUGAGCUAACCGGUACUAAUGAACCGUGAGGCUUAACCUUACA
rnacentral:rRNA from 1 species